CAACUUUGAUUCUUUGGAGAAGCCAAGAUUGAAUAUAAAGUCAGCAUCCUUUUCCAAUAAGCUCAAUCCAGCACUUACUCUUUGGCCAAUGUUUUUGCAAGGAAAAGAUUCUCAAAGGAUGGAAAAUAAGACUGUAAAAUGUACUAUGGAUUCAUUGAAAGGUUCCCCUAAAAAAGAAUCUGAAAAGAAACAACAGUACAUCUCCUUGAAAGAUGCAAAUAAGUGUGUUGAAUCUUCAGUGUGCUGGCCAACAAAGAGAGGCAUAACCAUAUAUGCCAAUCCAGACACACCAGCUGCAAG